GCGAGACUGCGAGCGCCGCACCAGCCGACGGUGUCGAGGUCCCGACAACGCAAAACGCUAAAUUUGAUGACGCAAUACAUAUUCACGGCGUACGGUCCGCCGAUGGUGCUGGAAUCCACACAAGGAGAGCUGCGUAUCAACUUUUCUCCACGUGCAACGCCCUGUGGCCGCUCGUCGGAAAUUCGCCGACGCACAACUACAGCAAGUGUUGCAAUGUAAAUAGAUAUUUCCCGCAGAAAAUUCUACCGAUGUUCAGAUACUACAUUUACCAUGACUGGUACACCUUGCAAGACAUCGGCAAACACAUGGUAGCCAUGCAUUUCGGACUCGCCAUUAACCGAUGAGUAAGUAAGACGCAUGUUUGUGCGAACUGCGACACAGUCAUGUACUCGCCGUUAAGCGAGCUCGUCCAACACUGGUAUAUAGCGCACAGUACCUUCCGCAAACGCGUAUUCGCGCAAUUCUUUCACAUCACGCUUAAUACACAUCUACACAGAGUGUUGGCCAUCACGGGGAAGCUGAUCGAAGAUAUCCGGCAGAACGGCGGCUGCCAGACACUGAUGUACGCGUGCCUGUUCUGGAGAACGUGUACAAGGAACCCCGAAACCAGCGUUUUCCGUGCAAUUUUCACGAAAAGUCGGAAAACCGGUUUUAUUGUCAACGUUGCAACGCUAUCUUUUCGAGCUCGUAAAUCGUGUAUGACAUACACCGGCUCACAAACCAGUACAUUCAUUUAAUGCGAGCAACCAGAUAGCCGUUCGUGUAAAUAUCAGCGGUGUGCGGAGGUCUGCCCUCCGAAAACGGUUCCAAUAACGAGUACGGGCAGGUGGAAAUCGAACGGAUGGUAAACCGUCAACUAAGAGACGAUCACGAACAUACCGAAAAGCAAAAAGCUGAGGGAGCUUUCUAUAAGCAUUUCGAGGAGAUUCUGAAACUUGCUCAGCAAUAUAGGUUACAAGUACAUUAUAGAAAUUGGGCUGUUCCUAAAUCGAAUUAUGUUCAUGAAAAUGUAUUAACCAAUGCCAAUGAUAGUGGAAACCAUAAUAAUAUGAGAAUAUCAUGAUUCUUCGUUCAAAAACUCAUCGAUAUCUGUGCCAGAAGCUUAUUUAUAUAAUCGUACUCCUACUGGACUCACAGUCCCUGCUGUAAAACUAGAAAAAAAGCUGAUAUUUACACGAACGGCGUUUGACGCUACAUGGAUGUUUCACAUUAAAUGAAUAUACUGUUUUGUGAGCCGGUGGAUGUCAUACACGAUUUACGAGAUCGAAAAGAUAGCGUUGCAACGUUGACAGUAAAACCGGUUUUCCGACUUUUCGUGAAAAUUGCACGGAAAACGCUGGUUUCGGGGUUCCUUGUACACGUUCUCCAGAACAGGCACGCGUACAUCAGUGUCUGGCAGCCGCCGUUCUGCCGGAUAUCUUCGAUCAGCUUCCCCGUGAUGGCCAACACUCUGUGUAGAUGUGUAUUAAGCGUGAUGUGAAAGAAUAACUCGAAUACUUGUUUGCGGACGGAACUGUGCGCUAUAUACCAGUGUUGGACGAGCUCGCUUAACGGCGAGUACAUGACUGUGUCGCAGUUCGCACAAACAUGCGUCUUACUUACUUCUCGGUUGAUGUCGACUCUGAAGUGCAUGGUUACCACGUGCUUGCCGAUGUCGUGUAACGUGUACCGGUUGUGGCAUAUGUAGCAUAUGAACAUUGGUAGAACUUUCUGCGGGAAAAAUCUGUUUACAUAGUCGCACUUGUUGUACUUGUGCAUGGGCGGAUAGCCGAUGAGAGGCUACAGCGCGUUGCACGUGGAGAAAAAGCGGAUACGCAGCUCUUCUUGGGUGCAUUCCAGAACCAUCGUCGGGCCUUACGCCGUGAAUAUGUUUCGCAUCAUCAACUUUUUCGCUUUGCGUUGUCGGGACCUCGACACCGUCGGCUGGUGCGCCGCUCGCAGUCUCGCGAAAGGAAUAAUUGGCAUCCGUAUUUGUCUGGGGUGAUGAGGCCUCGGCCACAAAGACUGCUGUUGUGGACGAUCUGCAGUCACUGCAGUAUGAUUCGGCUUUCUCGAAUACAUUAUGGCGGCAGUUAUAUCGUUUGUAAUCGAUCACAUUCUACUGACCUAACCAAAGUCAAACAAUCAAACCCGUGUUAUUAUUAUUCAUUGGUAUACAACUUGAAUAAUAAUGAUACAUCAUCAUGUCAUUAGGAAAUCCGUUCGUACCUAACACAAUAUUGGACGGUGCACAUAUAAAAAAAUUUUAUUGUUCAAUAUUACUGAGGUAACAUCGCCUCCUGUAAUUUUACCAAGUACGAAUAGUUCACUCUACGAACCGUCGACAUCAUCAGGUACCGGAACCAAAAGGUGCAGUAAAGAACGAUUUCAAACCCUACAACAUCUUUGGAAACUAGAAGCACAACAGACAUUGCUAGGUCUUCAAAAACAGAAAAGAAAGUUCCACCCAUAAAGGUUCUUACAAAGAAAGGAAGAAAACCAAAGGUACUUGUAAUUAUACCUCAAAAGGAAAAAAUAAUGACGGCGAAGUGCGGUUUUUUCAACCGGGCACAUGUUUAAAUGCUGGGCCAAAAAUAAAUAAAUGCAAAGAAUUUCGUAUGUAUAUAAACAGCAAGAAAAAUGAUGUUAUGACGCAAUAUGAAAGUAGAUAACAUAUUUUGCCAGUUCUACGUAUUUCGUCAGUUGUUCACAAAUAAUACUGGACAAUAAAAUUAUUAGUGAAUGCUGAGUUCCCGACAAAUAUCCAGAUAAUAUAACUGACAUUCUAUGAUAACUGAAAUUUUAUCAAAACUAUUAUUGUAUUACGUAUUUUAUUAUAUUUCACUGUGAUUUUUUGAAAAAAAUAUUGUUUUAUAAUAUUAUAUUUUCAUAAAUAUUUAUAAUACGUACAUAUGAUUAAUUUUGAUUUUUUUGUUUGUUAACAAUAAUAAUUAUGGAAAAAUUUAAUAUUUUUCUCACACUGUGUAGGUACACAUAUAACACAAUACAUAUGUAUGUUAAACAUUUUAUAAUUAAUUCAUUUUUACCUAUUAAAUGUAUAUCCUUUGUUAA